rnacentral:rRNA from 1 species
GCUAGUAAUGGCAGGUCAGCAUACUGCCGUGAAUACGUUCCCGGGCCUUGUACACACCGCCCGUCACACCAUGAGAGUUGGAGAUACCCGAAGCCUGUGAGCUAACUUUUAGAGGCAGCAGUCGAAGGUAGAAUCAAUGGUUGGGGUGAAGUCGUAACAAGGUAUC